GCAAACUUGGUCAUUUAGAGGAAGUAAAAGUCGUAACAAGGUUUCCGUAGGUGAACCUGCGGAAGGAUCAUUACAGUACCAUCCGGCGGCGAACGUCGAUCUCGGAUCGACUCAAAUUUCCCGCGACAGGAUCAGGCACGUCGACAAAUUUUCUUCGGAGGAUUUCGAUCGACGUGACCGUUCAAACCCCUUGUGAAAAACUUCAGUUGCUUCGACAGCUCCUUCUCUUCACCUUCGGGAGAAGGGAAGUGAUAAGUCUGUCGACGGCACCUUCAGGAAACUCAUCCGUGCAAUUUUUGGCCGUGAAACCGUCUGAGCACAGAGUCUGAAUCGACUAUAAAACUUUCAACAACGGAUCUCUUGGUUCCCGCAUCGAUGAAGAACGCAGC
rnacentral:misc_RNA from 1 species